rnacentral:rRNA from 1 species
UACGAACCGUCCAAACGUUAUUCGGAAUUACUGGGCUUAAAGGGUUUGUAGGCGGCCUUGUAAGUGGGGUGUGAAAUCCCUCGGCUCAACCGAGGAAUAGCGCUCCAAACUACGUGGCUUGAGGGAGACAGGGGUAAGCGGAACUGAUGGUGGAGCGGUGAAAUGCGUUGAUAUCAUCAGGAGCACCGGUGGCGAAAGCGGCUUACUGGGUCUCUUCUGACGCUGAGAAACGAAAGCUAGGGUAGCGAACGGG